rnacentral:rRNA from 1 species
UACAGAGGGUGCAAGCGUUACUCGGAAUUACUGGGCGUAAAGCGUGCGUAGUCGGUUAUUUAAGUCGGAUGUGAAAUCCCCGGGCUCAACCUGGGAAUUGCAUUCGAUACUGGAUAGCUAGAGUUCGGCAGAGGGAAGCGGAAUUUCUGGUGUAGCGGUGAAAUGCGUAGAUAUCAGAAGGAACAUCAGUGGCGAAAGCGGCUUCCUGGACCAGAACUGACGAUCAGGCACGAAAGCGUGGGGAGCAAACAGG